AGAGCGAACGCUGGCGGCAGGCCUAACACAUGCAAGUCGAACGGACUCUUCGGGGUUAGUGGCGGACGGGUGAGUAACACGUGGGAACGUGCCUUUAGGUUCGGAAUAGCUCCUGGAAACGGGUGGUAAUGCCGAAUGUGCCCUUCGGGGGAAAGAUUUAUCGCCUUUAGAGCGGCCCGCGUCUGAUUAGCUAGUUGGUGAGGUAAAGGCUCACCAAGGCUACGAUCAGUAGCUGGUCUGAGAGGAUGACCAGCCACAUUGGGACUGAGACACGGCCCAAACUCCUACGGGAGGCAGCAGUGGGGAAUCUUGCGCAAUGGGCGAAAGCCUGACGCAGCCAUGCCGCGUGAAUGAUGAAGGUCUUAGGAUUGUAAAUUCUUUCAGUAGGGACGAUAAUGACGGUACCUACAGAAGAAGCCCGGCUAACUUCGUGCCAGCAGCCGC
rnacentral:rRNA from 1 species